UGAGAGAGAGAGAGAGAGAGAGAGAGAGAGAGAGCAAUGGAGAGAGAAGUGGUAGUUGUGGAAUGUGAGAUGGAUCGGCAACCCGGAAUCCCUGACUCGGUCGCCACUCGGUCGGACGACGUCGCUUUGGUGGUGUUUGAUUCCGCCGCUCCUCCUCCUCCUCCUCCAAUCCCACCUUCAGGGGACAAGGUACGUAUUUAUUACCCUUACACACACACCUUCAGGAGACAAGAUACGUAUUUAUUACCCUUACACACACAUACACCACACACACACCUUCAGAAGGCAAGGUACGUAUUUAUUACCCUCACAAACACCACACCACACCAUACACCGCACACACUAUACAACUAUGUAUCCAUACGUAUAUAUUCAUAUGUACGUAUCGAAAUUUUGUACUUCUCUCCAAUUUAUAUUGGACUGGACCCGUCACGCAAAAUCUAACUCGUCCAUUAUUUGAUCGAUGUAAAAAAAUUUGGGAUUAAUGUUUUAAAAAUCGGACCGAUAAGCAAAUCAAAAAAGUAAUCGGUGGACGGGUCAUCAUUUCUGUUGUUGAGUUUAAUCGAAAUCGAAC